CCUACGGGUGGCAGCAGUGAGGGAUAUUGCACAAUGGGGGAAACCCUGAUGCAGCAACGCCGCGUGUGGGAAGAAGGUUUUCUGAUUGUAAACCACUGUUCUUGGGGAAGAUAAUGACGGUAACCAAGGAUACCUCUCCGGCUACCUCCGUUCCAGCAGCCGCGGUAAUACGUAGGGAGCAAGCGUUGUCCGGAUUUACUGGGUGUAAAGGGUGCGUAGGCGGUCUUGCAAGUCAGACGUGAAAACCACAGGCUCAACCUGUGGACUGCGUUUGAAACUGUGGGGCUGGAGUGAAGUAGAGGUAGGCGGAAUGCCUGGUGUAGCGGUGAAAUGCGUAGAGAUCGGGAGGAACACCAGUGGCGAAGGCGGCCUACUGGGCUUUAACUGACGCUGAGGCACGAAAGCAUGGGUAGCAAACAGGAUUAGAUACCCCUGUAGUC
rnacentral:rRNA from 1 species